rnacentral:piRNA from 1 species
UACUAAGUCAUGUGCAAUUUUAGUAAGUGU